rnacentral:rRNA from 1 species
GCAGUCGAGCGGUAGCACAGAGAGCUUGCUCCUGGGUGACGAGUGGCGGACGGGUGAGUAAUGUCUGGGAAACUGCCUGAUGGAGGGGGAUAACUACUGGAAACGGUAGCUAAUACCGCAUAACGUCUUCGGACCAAAGAGGGGGACCUUCGGGCCUCUUGCCAUCAGAUGUGCCCAGAUGGGAUUAGCUAGUAGGUGAGGUAAUGGCUCACCUAGGCGACGAUCCCUAGCUGGUCUGAGAGGAUGACCAGCCACACUGGAACUGAGACACGGUCCAGACUCCUACGGGAGGCAGCAGUGGGGAAUAUUGCACAAUGGGCGCAAGCCUGAUGCAGCCAUGCCGCGUGUAUGAAGAAGGCCUUCGGGUUGUAAAGUACUUUCAGCGAGGAGGAAGGCAAUGAGGUUAAUAACCUCAUCGAUUGACGUUACUCGCAGAAGAAGCACCGGCUAACUCCGUGCCAGCAGCCGCGGUAAUACGGAGGGUGCAAGCGUUAAUCGGAAUUACUGGGCGUAAAGCGCACGCAGGCGGUCUGUCAAGUCAGAUGUGAAAUCCCCGGGCUCAACCUGGGAACUGCAUUCGAAACUGGCAGGCUAGAGUCUCGUAGAGGGGGGUAGAAUUCCAGGUGUAGCGGUGAAAUGCGUAGAGAUCUGGAGGAAUACCGGUGGCGAAGGCGGCCCCCUGGACAAAGACUGACGCUCAGGUGCGAAAGCGUGGGGAGCAAACAGGAUUAGAUACCCUGGUAGUCCACGCUGUAAACGAUGUCGACUUGGAGGUUGUGCCCUUGAGGAGUGGCUUCCGGAGCUAACGCGUUAAGUCGACCGCCUGGGGAGUACGGCCGCAAGGUUAAAACUCAAAUGAAUUGACGGGGGCCCGCACAAGCGGUGGAGCAUGUGGUUUAAUUCGAUGCAACGCGAAGAACCUUACCUGCUCUUGACAUCCACAGAAUUUGCCAGAGAUGGAUUGGUGCCUUCGGGAACUGUGAGACAGGUGCUGCAUGGCUGUCGUCAGCUCGUGUUGUGAAAUGUUGGGUUAAGUCCCGCAACGAGCGCAACCCUUAUCCUUUGUUGCCA